UACGUAGGGUGCGAGCGUUAACCGGAAUUACUGGGCGUAAAGCGUGCGCAGGCGGUCUGUUAAGACCGAUGUGAAAUCCCCGGGCUUAACCUGGGAACUGCAUUGGUGACUGGCAGGCUUUGAGUGUGGCAGAGGGAGGUAGAAUUCCACGUGUAGCAGUGAAAUGCGUAGAGAUGUGGAGGAAUACCGAUGGCGAAGGCAGCCUCCUGGGCCAACACUGACGCUCAUGCACGAAAGCGUGGGGAGCAAACAGG
rnacentral:rRNA from 1 species